GAGUCUGACAUGUGUGCG
rnacentral:snRNA from 1 species